rnacentral:tRNA from 1 species
GGACCUUUAGCUCAGUUGGUUAGGGCUAACGGCUCAUAACCGUUCGGUCGCAGGUUCGAGUCCUGCAAGGUCCA